ensembl:snRNA U6 U6 spliceosomal RNA
GUGCUUGUUUCAGUAGCACAUAUACUGAAAUUGAAAUGAUACAGAGAUUAGCACGGCCCCCGGGCAAGGAUGACAUGCAAAUUCAUGAUGUACUCCAUAUUUUU